CCGUCAUUGGGGAGUAGCCGCCCUUCGCCAUGCCGAAGGGGCUUGCGUCAACAUACUUGGCCUUGCGGCCAUGGCGCAAGCGGUUCCCGAGCUUGGCAAGACCUUUGACCAUGCGCCUUCGCUCCGGCCGGAGAGGCGUCAUGGUCAUUGGAUU
rnacentral:sRNA from 1 species